ACGAACGCUGGCGGCAUGCCUAACACAUGCAAGUCGAACGAGACCUUCGGGUCUAGUGGCGCACGGGUGCGUAACGCGGGGGAACCUGCCCUUAGGUUCGGAAUAACUCCCCGAAAGGGGUGCUAAUACCGGAUAAUGUCUUCGGACCAAAGAUUUAUCGCCUUUGGAUGGGCCCGCGUUGGAUUAGCUAGUUGGUAGGGUAAAAGCCUACCAAGGCGACGAUCCAUAGCUGGUCUGAGAGGAUGAUCAGCCACACUGGGACUGAGACACGGCCCAGACUCCUACGGGAGGCAGCAGUGGGGAAUAUUGGACAAUGGGCGAAAGCCUGAUCCAGCAAUGCCGCGUGAGUGAUGAAGGCCUUAGGGUUGUAAAGCUCUUUUACCCGGGAUGAUAAUGACAGUACCGGGAGAAUAAGCUCCGGCUAACUCCGUG
rnacentral:rRNA from 1 species